GCUUGUCUCAAAGAUUAAGCCAUGCAUGUCUCAGUAUAAGCUUUUACACGGCGAAACUGCGAAUGGCUCAUUAAAACAGUUAUCGUUUCUUUGGUGGUUAUUGAUUCCAUGGAUAGCCGUGGUAAUUCUAGAGCCAAUACAUGCGCCCAGACCCAACUUUUAGGAAGGGUUGUACUUAUUAGAUGGAAACCAAUGCGGGGCAACCCGGAUUCUGGUGAUUCAUAAUAAUUAUCGGAUCGAUCGUAUGAUCGAUGCAUCAUUCAAGUUUCUGCCCUAUCAGCUUUGGAUGGUAGGGUAUUGGCCUACCAUGGCAUUAACGGGUAACGGAGAAUUAGGGUUCGAUUCCGGAGAGGGAGCCUGAGAAAUGGCUACCACAUCCAAGGAAGGCAGCAGG
rnacentral:rRNA from 1 species